rnacentral:rRNA from 1 species
AACGAACGCUGGCGGCAAGCUUAACACAUGCAAGUCGAACGGAUUGUUCUCAUAGCUUGCUAUGGGGACAAUUAGUGGCAGACGGGUGAGUAAUGCAUAGGAAUCUACCUAGUAGUAUAGGAUAGCCACUAGAAGUGGUGGGUAAUACUGUAUAAUCCCUGCGGGGGAAAGAUUUAUCGCUACAUGAUGAGCCUAUGUUAGAUUAGCUAGUUGGUGGGGUAAUGGCCUACCAAGGCAGUGAUCUAUAGCUGGUCUGAGAGGAUGAUCAGCCACACUGGAACUGAGACACGGUCCAGACUCCUACGGGAGGCAGCAGUGGGGAAUAUUGGACAAUGGGCGCAAGCCUGAUCCAGCUAUGCCGCGUGAGUGAGGAAGGCCUUAGGGUUGUAAAACUCUUUCAGUGGGGAAGAUAAUGACGGUACCCACAGAAGAAGUCCCGGCAAACUCCGUGCCAGCAGCCGCGGUAAUACGGAGGGGGCAAGCGUUGUUCGGAAUUAUUGGGCGUAAAGGGCAUGUAGGUGGUUUGGUAAGUUAAAGGUGAAAUGCCAGGGCUUAACCCUGAAGCUGCUUUUAAUACUGCCAGACUGGAGUCCGGGAGAGGAUAGCGGAAUUCCUAGUGUAGAGGUGAAAUUCGUAGAUAUUAGGAGGAACACCAGUGGCGAAGGCGGCUAUCUGGUCCGGUACUGACACUGAGGUGCGAAAGCGUGGGGAGCAAGCAGGAUUAGAUACCCUGGUAGUCCAC